rnacentral:rRNA from 1 species
UACGAAGGGGGCUAGCGUUGCUCGGAAUUACUGGGCGUAAAGGGCGCGUAGGCGGGUCGUUUAGUUAGAGGUGAAAGCCCAGGGCUCAACCCUGGAAUUGCCUUUAAUACUGGCGGCCUUGAGUAUGGCAGAGGUGUGUGGAACUCCGAGUGUAGAGGUGAAAUUCGUAGAUAUUCGGAAGAACACCAGUGGCGAAGGCGACACACUGGGCCAUUACUGACGCUGAGGCGCGAAGGCGUGGGGAGCAAACAGG